UUGAACGCUGGCGGCAUGCCUUACACAUGCAAGUCGAACGGCAGCACGGGUGCUUGCACCUGGUGGCGAGUGGCGAACGGGUGAGUAAUACAUCGGAACAUGUCCUGUAGUGGGGGAUAGCCCGGCGAAAGCCGGAUUAAUACCGCAUACGAUCUACGGAUGAAAGCGGGGGACCUUCGGGCCUCGCGCUAUAGGGUUGGCCGAUGGCUGAUUAGCUAGUUGGUGGGGUAAAGGCCUACCAAGGCGACGAUCAGUAGCUGGUCUGAGAGGACGACCAGCCACACUGGGACUGAGACACGGCCCAGACUCCUACGGGAGGCAGCAGUGGGGAAUUUUGGACAACGGGCGAAAGCCUGAUCCAGCAAUGCCGCGUGUGUGAAGAAGGCCUUCGGGUUGUAAAGCACUUUUGUCCGGAAAGAAAUCCUUGGCCCUAAUACGGUCGGGGGAUGACGGUACCGGAAGAAUAAGCACCGGCUAACUACGUG
rnacentral:rRNA from 1 species